rnacentral:tRNA from 1 species
AUCUUUUUAAUAUAAAUGUAUAUUUGCCUUCCACCCAAAAUGUCUAGAAAAACUAGAAAAGAUA